CUACGGGUGGCAGCAGUAAGGAAUAUUGCGCAAUGGAGGCAACUCUGACGCAGCCAUGCCGCGUGCAGGAAGAAGGCCUUAUGGGUCGUAAACUGCUUUUAUUUAGGAAUAAACCCCCGAACGUGUUCGGGGCUGAAGGUACUAAACGAAUAAGCACCGGCUAACUCCGUGCCAGCAGCGCGCGGUAAUACGGAGGGUGCAAGCGUUAUCCGGAUUUAUUGGGUUUAAAGGGUGCGCAGGCGGGCUAUUAAGUCAGUGGUGAAAUCCCGGGGCUCAACUCCGGAACUGCCAUUGAUACUGGUAGUCUUGAGUUUGGUUGAAGUGGGCGGAAUGUAGCAUGUAGCGGUGAAAUGCAUAGAUAUGCUACAGAACACCAAUCGCGAAGGCAGCUCACUAAGCCAAAACUGACGCUCAUGCACGAAAGCGUGGGGAGCGAACAGGAUUAGAUACCCCAGUAGUC
rnacentral:rRNA from 1 species